rnacentral:rRNA from 1 species
AUUGAACGCUGGCGGCAUGCUUUACACAUGCAAGUCGAACGGUAACAGGCCGCAAGGUGCUGACGAGUGGCGCACGGGUGAGUAAUGCAUCGGAACGUGCCCAGUCGUGGGGGAUAACUACUCGAAAGAGUAGCUAAUACCGCAUACGAUCUAUGGAUGAAAGCGGGGGACCGUAAGGCCUCGCGCGAUUGGAGCGGCCGAUGUCAGAUUAGGUAGUUGGUGGGGUAAAGGCUCACCAAGCCAACGAUCUGUAGCUGGUCUGAGAGGACGACCAGCCACACUGGGACUGAGACACGGCCUAGACUCCUACGGGAGGCAGCAGUGGGGAAUUUUGGACAAUGGGCGCAAGCCUGAUCCAGCAAUGCCGCGUGCAGGAAGAAGGCCUUCGGGUUGUAAACUGCUUUUGUACGGAACGAAACGGCUCUGGUUAAUACCCGGGGCUAAUGACGGUACCGUAAGAAUAAGCACCGGCUAACUACGUG